ensembl:ncRNA F10D11.7 ncRNA
AAAAAAGAAAAAAAGAAAACCGCAAUUUUGCAUCGUCAAAAGCAGGUAUUUUGUGACGAUGGCGCAAUGCAAAAAAAUGGAGUAGGCGGUGGCGGAGGGGGCAGAAGUGAAUUGAUUGAUCAUCAGAAGACGAACGGCAAAGUGAAAGUAUAGAAGGACG